AAGACGGGACUGCCUUCAAUGCGCAGGAGGAGAGGGCAGGUAUGGUCGCCAUCACUUCACCCCUUCUCUCUCCUGCCCGACGUGCCCGUCAGAUGUGAAAGGACAACAAAGCUGCAGCUGCUGCUUCUGCUUCUGCUUCUGCCAACCCCUCUGCUGCUAAAACGACAGUGCGUUCAGCGAGGGGUCAAUCAUAAAGCAAUAGAUUGCAAAAUGAUUUUGCCUCGGCCUCCGCACCCCGCUUGACUCUCAUUGGCUCUGACACUGCCUGUGUGUCUUUGCUGUAUCCCUAGCCCCAUCUUGCCACCACGGACCACCCAUGACACGUCACGUCGUUGGGCACGUGCGAAGGAUUUUAAAAGCAUAAUGCUUGAGUUUAUUUUUAUGCUUUUUGUUGUCCGUCCAAAAUAAAAUAGAAUAAAUAAAAAAUAAAUAAAUAUUCUGCUGUCCAAAAAAGAAUUACACCAUCUUAUUCGCCCGCGCGGGAAUUUCGGCUUGCAAUGCGUUGUAAACGUAUAAAUAAUGGUUUUGUGUGCUUCUCAGUCUUCUGUUAGUUGCUUCUCAUUUCUUUGUUUUUCUCGAUUGACUCUCUUUAUUCUGCUAAAUUCGUAGCGUCCAUGCAUGUGACAGUCCUUCUCUUUUCAUAGAUUUGUUUUUUGUUUUUGUUUUUGUGUUUAUAUAUUUCUUUCUUUUUUUCACACAAGAAUAA
rnacentral:lncRNA from 1 species